GUUCAUUUUAUAAUUUGUAAAGUACCUACGAAACAUUUAUACAUUUACAAUGAAACGUAUAAUUAUAAUUUCGUUAAUUCUUACUUCAGUAUUUGUCCACACAGCAUACGGUAAAUAUCUAAAUUUUUAAUAUAAAUUAUUUAUUUAUAAAAUAAAAUGAAUAAGAGCUAAUACAGUAAGUAUUUCGUAUGCAAUCACGAAAGUGAAAAAAGUGCGUAUGGAAUAUUAAUGUAUGGUAUCGUAUUUGUUUAACCUUAAGAUAAUAAUAAUAAUAAAAUACUAUACUAUACUAUAAAAGAACUAAUACUGAGGACACGGGUGCAGACAAUGUUGAANAUUUAAUUUAUGCUCGUAGGCAACAGUAAACUAUUGAUAAAGAAAAAUGUUUCGAAACGAAGUUCUGUUAUAAAUGUUUUAAAAGGCCAUAAUAUUAACGAUGUUUGUUAAAAUUGUAUAUUAACUCUUAUAAAUAAAAAUUAUAUUACUAUUUUACACCAAUUUUUUUUUUUUACUUUUUCUAAAAUCUUAGUAAAUAUAAUAAUGAAUCUCUGUCUAAUUUUCAAGCAUUUCUAUUAGUCUAUUAACUUAAUCCACCAAGUACCUGCCAAAUAAAAAUUACGUAAAAAACCGGCAAAAAUUAUAACGUCUAAAUCUACAAAGAUUGCUCAAAAAGAGCUCAAAUAUUUUGAUAAUUUGAAGACAUCUAGAAAAAACAAACAUAAGAUUUCUGUCAAUAUUUUGAGUCUCUGCAAAUAUUUUUAACUCAAUAACAUUUUAAAAACGAAAUUUCAAAAAAUAAAAUAAAUAUUAUUAUGAAUUUUCCCGUACUUUUAAAUAAUACAAUUUUUAGGUCAUAAUUGGAAAAAAAAAAUUGUAUCCCAUGUUUUUUAUUUUUUUACCCAAUUAUUAUAAAAACUACUUUGGAUAUCAAAAAACGACUUUUUCUGUUAGUGGCUACCAAUUUUUUAAUUGGGGCAAUAUUUCUGGCAUAAAACCUAGUGAACAGAAAUCAAAAAAAAAAAAACGAAAACGAUGGCGCCAUGACAUGCCGUAAAUAUUUGACUUUUUACACAUAAUUUUUUUUCUGAUUUUUCCCAUAUAUUUUGAAAAUAAUUUAGAUAUUAAAAAUAUGACCGUCCAAAUGUAGCAACUGGAAAACAUUAUUUUUCAGAAAAAUUUCUAAUCGAUACUUCAGAGCAAGUGUUGUGUCAGAAAAAUUAAACAUACACACAAAAAAUAAAAAACCACAUCAUAGAAAAACCAAUGUAUACCCUCGCUAUGCUUCAUAUCUAAAAUAACAUAUUCUAAUCUUUAAAUAUUAAUUUUUUCAACAAUUAUUUUUAUGUUUAAUGUAUAGUUGUAUAUAUUACGACUUAAUAAUUGAAAUUUAGCUUAUAGAAUUUAACAGGAUUUUAAAUCUUAGUAUAGAUGUUAAGAAUAAAUAAUACACUCUAGACAUUCUUGUUAAUUUAUAUUUUUAUUUUAUUUUAUUUAUAUAAAAUUAAAAUUUUAUACUAUCCAAUAAGAUAAAGAAUAUACAAUACAAGAAAAAAUGUGUUCAUGUCAUUUGUAUAGUCGCGUUUUGUUUAUCGAACGAGCAACAUGUAUGUUCCGCUCUCGAAUUUUGAAUAUACGCGUUCGUUUAGUAAUACACUAACUAUGAAUAUGUCUUCGCCUUUGACACACGCGUGUGGGGGCAUGGAUCGUCUUUCGGAAUAUCUGUGAGGGGUCAGGUUUUAGUUGACCAUGCAAUUAUACUACAAAUACAACAAGAUAACGAAAAACUUAAGUAAGCUUGUGACCCAAUUACAAGUGAGCAAUGCACAACUACAGAGUGAAUUAUUACAUUUCCAAGUGAGUAAUAUUAAUGAUCCUAAUAAAAAUAUCGUUUGAUAAGUUGGAUUCUUAUUCGGGUGUUAGUAUAAGCCGCAAAAUGAUUCAGCGAAAUAUCUGGGAAUACAUCUUGACUCACGACUUCACUGGAACAUUCAUGUACGCUAGAAAAAGUUGCAAAACAAACAAAUAAUGCACAAACUGUUGUGACUAGUUGGUUGACACUCCGAGGUAGUCUUAACCAGCAAACGUCUCUUGUAUGUAUCGAAUGUUAAACCGAUUAAGAUUUAUGAUAUUCGACUGUGGGGUUGUGCCAGUAAGUCCAAUAUCGAAAUAAUACAACGAUGCCAGAUGAUUGAUUUUUGUACCAUUAUCGCAGCAUAUCGUUAUGAUAAGAACGACAUAAUUCACUGCGAUUUGAAAAUGUCAUCCGUGCAGGAUAAAAUUACCCAGUUUGCUCGCAAACAUGCAAGAAACUGGAGCUCCACACAAAUGCGGCUGCCAAAAAGCUCCUCGACUACUCGAAGGACAUCAGACAACUCAAUCGACUAAAACGAUUUGACUUAGUCUAAUUAUUAGAUUAAGAAUGGGGCUGCUUCACUGGAAGUAAAACCCCACACAAGUUUUGUGUAUAUAUUCUUUAUUGUAGGCAUAAAUACUUUUAUUGAUUUUAAUUUAUAAGGAUUCUUUUAUCGUUUAAAUAAAAAAAAAAACUCAAUUUUACCGUAAAAUGAAUUAUUUUAGGUUAUUUUUCAAACUGUUUCGAUUUGUUUGAGCGCAUUUAAAUUCAAACGGGAACGUCAUUGUUCUAACUUUUGAUAACUAGUUUAAACACACAUUGUAAACUUGUUUAUUAUUCUAUAUUCCACUCUCCACACAUGUUCCAUCUAGCUAAGACUUCACCUUUUCAUGACACCUACUUUAUCAGUUUCGUUAAAUGUUUGCCUUUAUACUGCGUUUGUCCUUUUCUUUAUCCUUUAUUUAUAUUUAUUGUUUUCAUUGAUCUUUUUAUGGCCGAAUAUCCUCUUUAGUAUUUUCUUCUCAAAUAUCAUUAGUUUCUUUUAGUCCCCUUUUAUUGAUUCCCACCCCUGCACUUAUAAAUAUAUAUUUAUAUAAUACAUUUAUUUAUUUUUUUUGGCAACCAGUUUAUUAAUAAUUUCAAUUGACGAAGUCUCAAAAACUAUAUUUUAUGUAUUUAUAUGAAAUGUGAACUGUAUUAAUAAACCUGAAGUAGUCUUAUAAAAUAACUUGUGGUAUUUAAAAUUUUAUUUUUGUCUUUACUCUAGGGAAAUGGAAAAGUAUGUGCGUUUUUUAAUAUUUUAUGUAGUUUUUAACAUUAAUCGGACUAAACUUUUGUAUUCUUAACUUGUGUAAAGUUCGUAUGAUACGUGUCCUUAAAAAUACGCCCGUUUUGUUCAUUAUUAUUAAUAAAUUCGUCAUAAUAAUUUUCUUUAGGUAUCGGUCCGACUACUUGCCCCUUUUAUAUUAUUCUUACAAGUAAAACUUUGAUAUUUAAUAGAAUAAAAAAACUUUACCUAAUAGGUUAGGUUAAAGAGGUUUGGUAUGGGUGUUAUAACCCUUUACCUCCUCUAACUCUACCCCUAAUAUAAGAAUAAAUGAUUGGUUUUCAUUUGAAGAUGAACGAUAUAAUGACAUUAGAGAGCUAGUAAAUCAAUAAGUUAGUUAGGUUUUUCUUAGAUUCCAUGAAAACCGCAUAGAAAAUUUAAUAGAAUCCUCAAUAACUACCAUAUGAACAAUAUUUCCAUUCAGCAAAGGUGCUAUGCGAAUACAUCAGAGCAGGAUUUCAAGAAGAAUUUUUGUAUGUAGAACAAAAAAAUAAAUAAAAAAUAUCGUUGUAAAUAAAUAAUUUCCAAAUUGAAAGCAAAAAUUCAUUUUCUAAAUUCUGAGUGGAUGAGUCUUUUUCUACUACAAAAAUUAUGAAAAAAGCACAACUAUUAUCAUUCAAAUUAAUCAAAAGCAUAAUAUAUCAUUAAAAACUUAUACAACAGUUUAGUUACAGUCAUAAGUAUACAAUAGACAAAUACUAUCCUGAAUCAUGAAAUCCACACACAGUGCCAGUAUAUUCGUAUUAUAUUAACUAGAUGCACAGAAAAACAAGAAAAAUAUAAAAUAAGCUACGAUAUUCAAAAUUAUAUUAAAUUUUUUUCUAUCUAGGGCGAGAAUCUAGUAAGCAAAAAGGUAAGUAUUAUUUUUGAUUUAAUAAGGUUGUACAGUACUAGAAAGGAAAUUAUGUAACUAAUUAAAACUAUAUGCAGGGUGAGUUAAUAAGCCUGUUAAAUGGGUACAAAUCUCGAAAUAUUUUAUUUUCUACGAUGAGCUCAAAAUGGUUUAAGUUUUUUAUUAUAUUUUUAUUUUAUUAUUUUAAUGAAAAUUAUAAAUAAUUAGGGUUAUUAAAGAGCAAUUGAAUUUCAAGGAAAAUAUAAAAAUUAAUUCAAAAAUCUUAACAAUUUCUCGAAUUAUUCUAACAUUCUACCAUUUUUAGUAAAGUAAAUAUACAUUUUCUGUCAACAUUUUUAAUUUCUACGAAUAUUUUUACUGAAAUGCAACUAUACAAUAAUUACAUUACGUAGUUUAAAAAAAAUAAAAAUAAAACAUCAUAGUAAAUCAAUAUAUUCCCAUAACUCUCAAAAUCUCAUUAUUUUAAACUCGGUGUGGAAUGUGUCAUUUUGUACAAUAAAAAUAAUGAACUGCACACAGUUAUUAGCAUAUAUGUUAUUAUCAAAUGCAUAUUAUAUCAAUGAAACUAAAACUGCAGUAUUGCCAACAAUAUACUCGACUGAAAUACUAUUAUAAAUCGUUGUAUAUAAAAACAGAAACAAUGUAUUUUCAUUGAAUUAGUUGCAUAGAUAAAUAAGUAAAAUAUAAAAUAAGCUGUGAUAUCUAAAUUUUUUUUUCUAGCGCCACAAACUAGUGGGACACAGGGUAAUUGAUUAUUUGUUUUUUAAUAUAUUAUGUAGUAUUAAAAAGAAAUUAUAUAACUAAUUAAAACUAUAUACAGGGUGAGUUAAUAAGCCUGUAAAAAUGGGUGCAAAUCACGCAAUAUUUUAAUUUCUACGAUAAGCUCAAAAAGGGUUUAAGUUUUUUAUUUUAUUUUUAUUUUUUUAUUUUAAUGUAAAUAAUAAAUGCUUAGGGUUAAUAAAACCAUUGAAUUUCAACCAAAUAAUGAAAAUUAAUUCAAAAAUCUUAAAAAUUACUCGAAUUAUUUUAACAUUCUACCAUUUUUAGUAAAGUAAAUAUACAUUUUCUGUCACCAUUUUUAAUUUCUACGAAUAUUUUUAAUGAAAUGCAACUAUACAAUAAUUACAUUACGUAGUUUAAAAAAAAUAAAAAAUAAAAUAUCAUAGUAAAUCAAUAUAUUCCCAUUACCCUAAGAAUCUUAUUAUUUUAGACUCUGUGUAGAAUGUGUCAUUUAGUACAAUUAAAAUAAUGAACUGCACACAGUUAUUAGCAUAUAUGUUAUUAUCAAAUGCAUAUUAUAUCAAUGAAUCUAAAACUGCAAUAUUGCCAACACUAUACUCGACUGUAAUACUAUUAUAAAUCGUUGUAUAUAAAAACAGAAACAAUAUAUUUUGUAUUAAAUUAAUUAUUUGUAUUAACUACAAUAUUUUGUGGUGGAUUUGCACCGUAGUUUAUAUUUUCAAACAUUGUUAUUUUAUCAGAUUACGUGUACCCACUUAAAAUAAGUUUGUUUAUAUAAACUUACCAUACAUCCGAGGUCGUUUUUUGCAUAAUAAACAUUUACACAAAAAAAGAAUGACUGAUUGUCAUGUUAAAGCACUUUACGCUUUUGAUUUGCAUGCUUUUGCUUGUUCGGUGAACAAUUCGUAACUUGCCAGUAUAUAUGUAUUAAAUUGAUAAGCUGUAUAGAUAAUAAACAAAAUGUAUAGUUAGUUGGGCUAUUCAAAAGUAAAGCAAUUUAUUUUUCUAUUAGGACCUAAUACGGCACAACGUAAGUGAUUUUUUUUUUUAAUUAUUCUAUGCAGUUAUAAAAACAAAAUAAAUAACUAAAUAAUACCUUAGACGAGGGUAUUCACUCUCGAAAACGGCGUGUUUUAUGCCUACUAAUCUCGCUAAAUUAAAUGUCGAUUAUUAGGUAACAAAUAAGUUAUUAUAUUUUUUUUUUUUUAACUUUACUACAUUUAGAAUAGGUUAAUAUAAAUUUUUUUCUGAAUUUCGUGUUCAUAAUAUCGAUAUGGAUAUUUUUAAUUGAAUUCCAACAAAUUAUUUUUAAAAAUGGCUUUUAUAAGGCUUAUAAAAAGGCAAUUAUAAGGUUUCUUUCUAAAUUUCUUAUAUAUACGAAUAUUUUUAACUGGAUUACAACUAAUAAUAAAAAUUGAAAAAAUAAUAAAAGCACAAAGGGAGUUCUAUUGAAGUUAUGAGUUUAAACCACCAAUGACGCAAGAGACGGAGGAGCACCACCACUUCAACAAUUACCCGUUCAGUCAUUCCUAUAUUGUACUUAUAGCUGAUAAAUACAGCUGAAUCUUAAUCCGGGUUUGGUGUCGCAACGACACUACAUAAUACUACGAUUAUAAAAUGAUACCGAGUUUAUGCAAAAAAUUAAUAAAAACUAAACCUGACCUAACGUAACCUAAUCCAAACACAAACUUCAAAGGACGUCCUAGUAUAACGGGGACUGAUAGUUAUUAUUUGUAGCCAUUAUUAUAGAUAAUUUAAUGUAUACCUCUAAGCAAUGAUAAACCAUUGCUUACAAAAAACAAUUCUGAGUGGAGUUUAGUUGAUAAUGAUAAUUUGUUAACAACCUAAACGAAGGCUAAUCAAAAAGUAUCAAGGCUUGUAGUAUCAUUGAGCAUCGAAGAGCAGUAGAAUUAAUGUUACUUACUUCUAUGACUUUUUGUGGGUACUUUUGUUUUUAUUGAUUCCCUAUAAAUUUGUUCGGUUUAAUUCCACCGAUAUUUUUGUAAAAAUAUUUUUGAGUUUGUGAUUUUGUAAUGAAUCUAAAAGAAAAGCAAUUUGAUAGUUUUGAAUAGUUGAUGGUGAUACUUUGUCAACAAUAUAUAUUAUGUCAUUUUAUAGUAAAAUAACUAAAUAUAUUUUAUGUAUUUUCCUUAAUAAUAAUUGUUUAAUUUUAUACUAAUUUUUCCAGUUUUUCUACGUUUUUCCCGUUUUUCCCAUGUUUCAUCCUGUGUUUUCAUAUUUUCUAGGAAAACUCAUGGGCAGAUCGAAAAAUUACCUUUCUAAUCAUUGAAAAUUGGAGCCAAAUUGUUUGUAGAAAUUUAUCUACAGGAAAAAAGAAGGCCGUAAUAUAUUUUAACCAAUACCUAAAUUUCUUACAUUUUUCCGUUUUUCCUCUGUUGUUUAUCGGUUUUUCAAAUCUGAUGAAAAAACUGUAAAACUCGAAAAUUGUCGACUCUAAAAUACAUCCAUAUUGAAAUUUAUUUUUAGAAAAGUUGCUUUCAUUAUAAAUCGGAACAAAAUUGCUUGUUGAAAAAAUAUCAUAAUAUUUUAUUAACAUAUUUCGUACAUUUUCCCGGUUUUCUUUUAAUACUCCCCCUUAAUACCUCCUCAUAGUGAUUUUCUUUCAGUAAAGAUGCUACACUUAAAAAUUUGAGCAUGUCUUCAAGUAAAAGAGUUGCGCAAAAAAAAAUAACAUAAAAAAUAAUAACAAUAAGAGUCCAACAGCCAUUUUAAAUUGUACUAAUCCNAUUUGCUUUCAUUAUAAAUUGGAACAAAAUUGCUGGUUGAAAAAAAAUCAUAAUUUUUUAUUAACAUAUUUCGUACAUUUUCCCGUUUUUCUGAUAACACUCCCCUUAAUACCUCCAUAAAGUGAUUUUCUUUCAGUAAAGAUGCUACACCUAAAAAUCUGAGCAAGUCUUCUAAUAAAAAAGUUGCGCACAAAACAAUAACAUAAAAAAUAAUAACAAUAAACAUCCAACGGCCAUUUUAAAUUGUACUAAUCCACAUAAAAACCGAUGUUACCAAAGGAUUUUAGAGAAUAACAUAAUUGUACAUGUAGAAAUUAAAGCGGCAUUGAAAUUAUUCGUCGGAUAUAAAAUUGUGAUACAUUAAAUAUAAAUAAACUCUGCAAAAGGGCUAUCUUCAAAUUUUUCGAAAAUAAUGCAAUUUUUACAAAAAAAAAACAAAAUUAAAUUCAAAUAUAGAUAUUCAUAAUUCUCAUCUCUGUGAGUAGCAUAAAAAUAAAAUUUGGUUAUAUUUUUAUCUUCAGAGAUAUUCAAAGGGUAUAUCUUCGUGGAACAGCCUGUAUAUAAGAGUAUGAUAUCUAGUAGAUUUCUUGUACACAGUAUAAUAAAAGAAAAAAAAGCAUCAAAGUAAAACCAAUACAUCCGUCAUUUAACUCAAUUUUUUUUUUUUUGAUUCUGAAUGGAAUUAACUUCUUAUACAGUAAAAAUUAUGAAAUACAUNUCAUGUUUGUUAUAAUCAAAUGCGUACUAUACCACAGUACUACAAUUUAGCCAACAUUGUAGUUUAGAAAAAUACUAUCCUGAAUCGUGGUAUCUGUACAUAGAGCCAGUAUAUUGUAUCAAAUUGAUUAGUUGCAUAGAUAAAUAACCAAAUUAUAAAAUAAGUUGCGAUAUUCAAAAUUAAAUUGAAUUUUUUAUUUUCUAGAGCCAGAAUCUAGUACGCAACAGAGUAAGUAAUUUUUUUUUUAAUAUUCUUCACAGUUUUAAAAAAAAAAAAUAGGUAACAAAAUAAAACUAUAUACAAAGUGAAUUACNAUAUUUAUAUCUAAUUUAUUAGUUGCAUAGAUAAAUAAGCAAAAUAUAAAAUUAGUUGCGAUAUUCAAAAUUAAAUUGAAUUUUUUAUUUUCUAGAGCCAGAAUCUAGUACACAACAGAGUAAGUGAUUUUUUUUUUAAUAUUCUUCACAGUUUUUCAGAAAAAAAAAUAGGUAACUAAAUAAAACUAUAUACAAAGUGAAUUACAAAGCCUGUCCUAUACGUACAAAUCUCGCAGUAUUCAAAUGUCUAUGAUUAGCUAAAAAAUAGCUUAAAUUAUUAUUUUUAAUCUCACCAUGUCCAGAAAUAUUUAAUGUAAAAUUUGUUAAAAUUUUAAGUCCAUAAAAUUGAUACGAAUAUUUAUAAUUUAAUAAGUUGUUUAUUAUUUUAACUUUUUCAAAACAUCAUAAGUUUAUAAAUAGAAAUAUGUAUUAUUUAUUAUUCUGUACUUUUUCCAAAAUAGCAAUAAUUUUCAGUGUCACUGGAAUAUACGAGUAGUAUAGAAUGUAUAAUAAUAUAAUUUUGGGUCCGCAAAAUUGUUUUUUACAAUACAUUUUUCAUUGGACAACCACAUCUACAUCUAUAAGUUUUAUCUAGCUAAUCGUCGGGGUAUUAAAUAUUUUAAUAAAUUGUUUAAUCNUUAUAACUAAAAAAAACAUUAAAUAUACAAUAAGCUAUGAUUUUUAAAUAUUCAUUCUAGGGAACAAAAGUAAGUGCAUUUUUUAAUAUUCCAUGUAGUUUUCAAUAUCCGUCUAAUUUUAAAACUUUAUACUAGGAAAGUUAAGUAUCAAUUUUUUUAGUAGAAGAGUAUAACUAAUAAAUUUAUAACUGGUUUGAUUUUUAUUUUGCGUUAAAAUUGGUUUCAUGCACUCAGCAAGAUUUAAAACUGGUUUAAACUUUAAAUAGGUUUUACACAUUAAACCAGAUUCUAAACUAGGAUUGACUCCAUACUCUAUCCUGUAUAAACAUUGAUUAUUUAGUUGCAUUUGAAUUAGUUCCCAAAAUGUUUUUUUGUAUCAAUUUCAAUUUUCCUUCUCAUUAUAUACAGAUUUAGAACCUUUAAAUUAAUAAUUUAAUAUAAUAUCAAGAGUCUCGUUCAAUAUUUUGGGUAACGUUAGUUCUAUGCUAUACUGACUAGCAUUCUAUUUCUAUAUGUUGAGCAUUUAUGAUUUCAAUAUCAAAUUUAAUCAACUCACAGUUAAUAGUUUUUGCUGGACGUUCAUGUAUUCAAAUAUUAUCAAGAGACAUAUUUUAUGGAAAUUAAGUUUCUAAUUUCCUAGAACGACAAAAUUCCGAAAAUUUAGGUUCUGUCUAAAUAAUUAGAAUACGAUAUCUUAGACUCAAGUUUCACUGAUUUAUGUAAUGCACUAAUGUUGCAUAGUCUGAAGUAAUGUUUGUUGUAAUUCAUAUUUAAUACUUAUUGUAAAUUGGACUCUCGCAUUUUUUAAAGUUGCGUGCAUUUUUAUGUGAAUUAUUGCUGUCCUAUUACAAUUUUUUUUUUCUCUAGGGAUAAGAUCUGAUGAUGGUAAGUGAUUUCUUUUUAAAUUCCAUGUAAUUUUCAGUAUUAUUCAUACUCUCGUUCUAUAAAAGAAAUUAUAUGAAACUCAGAAUAUAUUAUUAGAAACAAAAAUAAAUAACAAAGAUAAAAAUCAUAAUUUUUUAAAGUUGCGUGCAUUUUUAUGUGAAUUAUUGCUGUCCUAUUACAAUUUAGAAAAAAUUACACUCUUUUAAACUCUUUAAAUUUGUCGACGACUUGAUCACAAUCAUAUUUUCAUCAUCCCUAUUGAUUAUAAACGUAUUAAAAAUUAUUAUACCUUCUUCCCCAAUAAAAUUGAAAAGCAUAGCCGUCUUACCUAACUCAUGUUUUAGAAGCCUUUCUGGUUUGCUAAUAAAAAUAUUUUGAAUUUUAGAACCAAACUUUGUAGUUGUUAGCUAUAUUACCGUCAAAGUACUGCCUAGGCACCACAUGUUGUAUCGACAAUUUCGUCAUAUUGCAAUUCUUUUUAGUUAAUAUUAUAAUUUUAAAUCUAACACCAUGUUUUGUAUUUUAUUAAGUAGAAGAUGUACGUUCUCUUUAAGAACAGAUCCCUUUAUUUAUUGUGUAACAAAUACGACAUAACCAACAAAAGCAAGGCGGGAAUUUUUUGCACGUGGGUGAGCCAUUGUUGUAGAUGAUUUGUUGGGAAGGUAGAGAAGAAAUUUAAUGUAUAUCUAUACGCAGUGAUUAAUCAUUGUUAACGAAAAACAAUUCUGAGUGGUGUUCAGUUAAUUGUAUUGCUUUGUCAAUAAUAUACAAGUCACAUUAUGGUAAAAUAAUAACAAUAUGUGCAUUAAAAUUUUCUUUAAUAAUACUUGUUUGAUAUUGUAUUUAUUUUACCGUUUUUUUCCGGUGUUUCACAUUUAUUGGGAAAACUACUGGGCAAAUCUAUAAAUUAUGUCCUUAAAAUACUAUUAAGAUAAAAUUUCCUUUUAAAAAAUGUGCUACACUUGAUAUACCGGUGCAAGACUUCUGGUAGAAAAGAUUGACCCACAAAUUAAGGGGUAAUUUUCGAUUAAAAAAGUUCGAUCAAGCGCAAGCUUGGGUCUCUAAAUAUACCCGAAAUACCUUUGUCUUUUACCUAUUUAGGUAAAGGGGAAAAAACAAAUGCAAUCAAUUUUCUCGGAAUACGAGUAUAAACUCGUGAUCUCUAGGGUAACGAUAGGUAAACAGUAAACUACGAAAGUCAUAAUAUAAUAUUGACAAUAUUAAGUUAUUUAACAUAGCAUAUAGUAUCCACAUAAUAUCAGAACUUUAAAAAGUUAUAAUUUUGAAACUAGGUCAAUACGCUCAAUUCUGAAUUCACCAUCAAUACUAAAUUGGAAAAAUACGUAUGUUUAAAACGAACAAUUGAAAAAUUAGAUUUGUGCUAAAUAAUUUUUUACUUAAACGAUUUUCGUUAAAAUUUGAUAUAGAAAUUCCUAUAGUAACAAAAAAUAUUGCAAUAAACUCAAUCUUUUUUUGAUGACAAAGUAACUUUUAUUGACCCUCAUGUUAAAUAUUCAAGUCUCUCAAAACUACCAUCAGGACAAUGUUUUCUUUCGGAAAUGUUACCGCACGUAUAUAUCGGAGCAAAAUAUCUCGUAGAAUUUAUGUACGCAUUUAAAAAAUAAAUAAAUAAAUAUUAUAGUAAACCAAUACAUUCCUCAUUACAAUACUACAGUUUAGCUAACAGUAUACUCUACAAAUACUAUCCUGAACCGUAAAAUUUGCACACAGAGCCAAUAUUUUUGUAUCAAAUUAAUUAUUUGCAUAGACAAAUAAACAAAAUACAAAAUUAAUUGCGAUAUUAAAAAUUAAAUUGAGAUUAUUUUUUUCUGGUGCCAGACCCUAGUGAGCAAUCGGGUAAGUGAUUUUUUUUUUAUGUUCUAUGCAAAUUUAAAAAGUAAAUAGUUAAAUAAGGUACAGAUAUCACAAAAUGAAAAUGUCUAUAUACAGCUCAAAAAUGGCUUAAAGUUUUUUUAAACUUACCACGAAAAGAUAAAUAUAAAUUUUUUGUUCAAAUUUCAAUUCUCUGCGAAUAUUUUUAACUGAAUUACAAAAAAUAAAAAAUUAAGAUAGUAAGAGCAAUAAUUUAAUAAAGUUCACGUUUUUCUUAAGUUUUAUCUUAGUUUUUCCUAAACAUUAUAAAAUCCGCCUGGAAAAUCAAAAAUAACAUCAUAAUAAACCAAUACAUUUCUCAUUCCACUCUAAAUUUCAUGUUUUAGAUUUUAAGUCAAAUGAGUCUUUUGGUAGAGUAAAAAUAAUGAAAUCACAGUUAUUAUUAUUCAUGUUAUAAUCAAAGGCAUAUAAUACCGUUAAAACUAAUACUACAGUUUAGACAACAGAAUACUCUAGACAAAUACUAUCCUGAUUCGUGGUAUCUACACACAGUGCCAGUAUAUUGUAUUAAAUUAAUUAGUUGCAUUUAUAAAUAAGCAAAUAUAUAUUUAGGUGCGAUAUUUAAAAUUAAAUUAAAAUUGACUGUAAUAAAUAUGGUAUAAUAUAAAUGUAGUAAAUAGAAAUACAGCCUGUAUAUUAUUAACCAUUUUGUAUUAAAUUAUUUAGUCGGAAUGUUAAAUAACUAAAUUAACAAACAGUAAUUUUAUUUAAAAUAAUUUAAAUUUUCUUUUUCUAGCGAAUACUAGUAAAAAAUUCGAGAAUAUGCCACGUAAGUGAUUAUUUUUAUUAAUAUGACAUGCAUUUUUUAAAGUAAAUAGGUAACUGAAUAAAAACUAUAUACAGGGUGAUUCACUAAGCGAACUCUAUGAGUAGAUAUCUUGCAAAAUUAAAAUAUCUGUAAAUUGCUAAAAAAUUGUUAAAACUGUGUUUAAAAUUUCACCACAUCUAAAAAAUCUUCAUGUAAAUUUUUGUUUAAAUUUUAUGUCUAUAAAAUCGAUACAAAUAUUUUUUAUUUAAUUUUAACAAAAAUAUUAAAAUUUGUAUACAAAACUUAAAAAUUGAUCAAAUGAUAUGAAAAUUGUACAUGUUUAGAAUAAGUAAAUGUAAGUUUUCUGUUUAAAUUUAAAAUCUUUAAAGAUAUUUUUAACCAAAUUGGAAACAAUAACAAAUAGAUGUAUUUGUAUUUUUUACACCCCAAAUAAUUCUGAAACCAAGAUUUUUCUCUCUUUUUUCCAGUAAAUUUUUGCAAAAUAUACAAAAUCCAAACUAUCUACCUUAAAGUAUUUUCCAGUCAAAUUGGUUUUCAGAAAAAGUUCUACCAUUGUAAAUCCAAGUAAAACUACAUGUAAAAAGUAUUUAUAGAAAAAAAAAAAAGGUCAUAAAAUUUAACUAUACAUUCGUAAAUAUAAAUCAUAAUUUUAACCUCUACGUCAUAGUUUAGGGUUUUUUAAGUUUAAAAUGUAUGGAGUAGAACGAUUAUUUUCAUGUCUUAUUUUGUAUCAUACUUAGCUUAAUAAAAUUGCAGUCAGUCGAGAAGGUUUUUUACUAGGUAUGACUUAUAACAAUGAAUCUUCCACAUUUUAUCGAUCCUUUUUUUUCUAAUCUUUAUUAACUCUUUUCAUUUAUUAAGUUACAUUCUUACAAUUUAUCAGGUAUUAACCAAAGUGUUAGUAAAUGAGUAUAUUAGUUGUAUAGUUAGAUUAGGUAUAUUUUUAGUAUUUAUUCCUGUGAAUAAUGUAAAAAACAAAAUUGGUUAUCUUUAUUAUCGUUAGAGAUGUUAUAAUACAAUAACUAGGUAUAUCUUAGUGAGACUCUGUAUUAUUUAUAACCAGUGUAGACUAAAUGUUGAUUUAUUAAAACUAACAGGUCCACGUGAAGGACAAACAGUAACUGGUAAGUUUUUAUUUUUCUUUAAUACCGUGUUUUUUUCAAAGUUUGAUUAUAUUUUUUAGAUGCUGUUGUUGCGCAUGUCUUUAACACUUCAAGUAAAUUAUAACUAUAUAUUUUUAAGUAUAUUUUAUUUAACUGAUGAAAAUAAUUAAAUUUAAUCUCACAAUUCAAACCG